rfam:Macrostomum lignano unitig_47742, whole genome shotgun sequence.
UCCCAUCAAUGUUGCGGUGUCCUUGCCUAAAUUGUGUUACAGAAAGUGUAAAUUGUCGUAACUACCAGUCGCAAAUAUAAUUUUAGAUCUAGGUCUCAGUCCGCGCAUCCUUGUGGCCUCGCAUGUUUUGGCUAGCUUGGCUGCGCCGAAUGCUUGCAAAUCUAAGGAACAACCAGAAGCAAAGGAGUGACGGUUUAGGAUCUGUCUCAUAGUAUGCAACUUCCUCGCGAGUUUUGGAGCCGACCUUAUUAGUACAACUCUAGUGGUUGAGUAGCUUGUGGGUAGACUAUUUCCGAUCCAUAAUAAGUCUGUCUUGAAAACACGAGGACCAAAGGAGUCUAACAUGUGCAGGCGUAAAGUUCAUGGGGAAAUUCUACGAAACCCAAAGGCGCAGGUGAAGUAAAGGCUGCUCUCUCGUAGAGCUCUGUAUGGUGAGGAUCUGCGUGGCAUUACGCGAGUCGGCGAGCGCGCACCAACCUGGCCCGUCCUAAAUCUGUCUCUGUGCAGUGAAGAGCGGCAGCGACAAGAGCGUACAGCGUGGGAACGCCCGAAAGAUGGUGUAACUAUGCUUUGCGCAGCUCGAAGUCAGUGGAAAACACUGAUGGAGGAGUCUGCAGCGUUUUUUGACCGUGCAAAUCGAUCGUCAAAGCAGUGUACGUAUAAAAAAUGGGGGCGAGGUAAAAGACCUAAUCGGACACGCACAAUAUCUAGUAAGACUGGUUGCCGAUUGAUCACGAAGUUUUCCCACCUCAGGAGCUAGCUGGACUGAGGAAAUCAGUUUUAAAUCCGGUAAAUGCUGAAUGAUUAGAAAGGCAUUUGGGUCGAAACGACGCAUUUACUGACCCUAUUCUCAAACUUUAAAAUGGUAAGAUGCUCGUCUCGCUUAAUUGGAGGCGGGCUUCACCUUCAAAAUCUAAAUAACGUGAAUGUGAGUGCCCAGUGGGUUCCCAUUUUUUUUGGUAAGAAAUGCAGAACUGGCGCCAAUGUGGAAAUGAACCAAACGCGCGUCUCAAGGCGAAACCCAAUUAAAUUUGCUGGACGCUCAUGAGACAGGCCUUUUUACGAGGGUAAAAGGUGUUGAGUCGAUAACUUGAAUCAUCGCAGGACGGUGGCCAUAAAGGAAGUCGGAACGCCCGCUAAUGGAGUGUGUAACAACAACUCACCUUGCCGAAUCAAUCCAGCCCUGAAAAUGGAUGGCGCUGGAAGACGUCGGGCCUAUAGCCGUGCCGUUGGGGGCGAAGCAGACAAAUCAAUCUGUGUGGAUGUCCAACCGAGUAGUGAGGGUCGCCGUGGUGAAGAGCGCAGAAGGUGCCGGCCGUGAGGCACGGCUGAGCCGCCAUGCCACGGGCGGGCAGAUCCUUGGUGUAGUACCAAGCAAUUACUCAAGUGAGAACCUUGAGGACUGAAGUGAGAAGGUUCCAUGUGAACAGCAGUUGAACAUGGUCAGUAAGGACCUAAGCGAUGCUUGGGUAACUCCGUACCGUUAGACCGAGGGUGACAACUAUGAAACACAUGUAUAAAUUACUGCGUAAGCGAUAUGUGAAUUCUAUAGGCCGCUCCGGGAGCGAAAGGGAAUCUUGUUAAUAUCUUCACUGACCCUUACCGUGGAAGAUCGCCCCUUUCGGGGGGGCAAGUGUCGGUAACGCAAACGAAGCACAGAGACGUCGGCUGGAGCGCCCCGGGAAAGAGUUCUCUUUUCUUUGUAAGGAGCGUACCCCGGUGGAAAUUCCCUGGAAUCGGCUUGUCGCGAGAUAGGGGGCGUGGCUUCCGUAAAGCAGCGGCGGGUCUUGCGCCGCCUGUCCGUGCACUCCAUAGUCGGCCCGCUUGAAACAAUGGACUUGGAAGCAGUUGUUAAUUUCACGGUAGGUUUCCGAUACCUCAUAUCCACUGCAGCAGGUCCCAAGAGUUGAAAACAGCUCUGCUAUGUUCCUAGACACAAUGGGUAGGGUAAAGGGGAAGUCGGCAAAAUGAUCCGUAACUUCGGGAAAAGGAUUGGCUCUGAGGGCUGGGUCGGAUGGGCUGGCGUAAAAGAAGCUGUUCCGGUUUUGGAGUGAGGACUGGGUGAGCUUUCGGGCUUUACUCCGACCAUGCCGAGACGUGACAGGCAGUAGAACGACGUCAGAGCUGAUGCUUUGUCGUGUUUUCGGCGCGGCAGCUUCGUCCCGGCAACAAACAGCCAACUACAGAACUGGCACGGUACUAGGGUGGAAUCCGACUGAAAGUCGUAAUUUAAAACAAAGCAUGCUGCGAUGGCUGUUGCUAACGGUGUUGACGCAAUGUGAUUUCUGCCCAGUGCUCUGAAUGUCAAAGUGAAGAAUUCAAUCAAGCGCGGGUAAAUUUACGGCGGGAGUAACUAUGACUCUCUUAAAGGUAGCACAGAGAUGCCCUAAAGUCGGUCCAUCUAAUUAGUGCACGCGCAGAAUGGAUAAAAAAACGAUAAAGGGCAUUGAUUAUCUCCGACAGACGAGAUUCCUACUGUUCCCUAUCUUACUAUCUAGCG